rnacentral:rRNA from 1 species
UCAGUUGUGAAAGUUUGCGGCUCAACCGUAAAAUUGCAGUUGAUACUGGGUGUCUUGAGUACAGUAGAGGCAGGCGGAAUUCGUGGUGUAGCGGUGAAAUGCUUAGAUAUCACGAAGAACUCCGAUUGCGAAGGCAGCUUGCUGGACUGUAACUGACGCUGAUGCUCGAAAGUGUGGGUAUCAAACAGGAUUAGAUACCCUGGUAGUCCACACAGUAAACGAUGAAUACUCGCUGUUUGCGAUAUACAGUAAGCGGCCAAGCGAAAGCGUUAAGUAUUCCACCUGGGGAGUACGCCGGCAACGGUGAAACUCAAAGGAAUUGACGGGGGCCCGCACAAGCGGAGGAACAUGUGGUUUAAUUCGAUGAUACGCGAGGAACCUUACCCGGGCUUGAAUUGCAACUGAAUGAUGUGGAGACAUGUCAGCCGCAAGGCAGUUGUGAAGGUGCUGCAUGGUUGUCGUCAGCUCGUGCCGUGAGGUGUCGCUUAAG